rnacentral:rRNA from 1 species
CAGCAGCCGCGGGAAUACGAGGGGGGCAAGCGUUGUUCGGAAUUAUUGGGCGUAAAGGGUGCGUAGGCGGCCCCGCAAGUCUCAUGUGAAAUCUUCAGGCUCAACUUGAAGUCUGCAUGGGAAACUGCGGGGCUGGAGUAUGGGAGAGGUGAGUGGAAUUCCUGGUGUAGCGGUGAAAUGCGUAGAUAUCAGGAGGAACACCUGUGGCGAAAGCGGCUCACUGGACCAUAACUGACGCUGAGGCACGAAAGCUAGGGGAGCAAACAGGAUUAGAUACCCCCGUAGUCCCUGUCUCUUAUAA